rnacentral:rRNA from 1 species
AUGCAGGGGGCACCGGAAAUCUCCCACCUUCUGUUUGCGGAUGAUUCCCUACUGUUCUUCCAGGCAACAGAGCAGCAGGCACUGUUAGUGAAAGGUUUGUUGAACACGUUUGCGACGGCGACUGGCCAACUGAUUAACCCGUCCAAAUGUUCCAUCCUCUUCUCAAACCAGUGCCCACAAAAUUUUGCAUUGCAAGUAAAGAAUAUUCUGGAAGUUACCCAGGAAGCUUUUGAACCCAAAUAUUUGCGCUUGCCGAUACCCGAUGGCAGGAUGCACAAGGGGAAGUUUGAGUCACUACAGGAAUGGCUAAGGAAAGUCCUUGUCGACUGGAGUGAGCAGUACAUGUCUUCAGGCAACAAAGAGGUUCUGAUUAAGUCGGUAGCUCAAGCCAUUCCGACCUAUAUUAUGAGCAUUUUCAAAAUCCCCUAUUCAGUGUGUGAUGACCUGACUCGUAUGAUACGCCAAUACUGGUGGGGGUGGAGAACGACAAAAGGAAAAUGGCAUGGAUGA